rnacentral:rRNA from 1 species
UACGUAGGGUGCAAGCGUUAAUCGGAAUUACUGGGCGUAAAGCGUGCGCAGGCGGUUUUGUAAGUCUGUCGUGAAAUCCCCGGGCUCAACCUGGGAAUGGCGAUGGAGACUGCAAGGCUAGAGUUUGGCAGAGGGGGGUAGAAUUCCACGUGUAGUAGUGAAAUGCGUAGAUAUGUGGAGGAACACCGAUGGCGAAGGCAGCCCCCUGGGUCAAAAUUGACGCUCAUGCACGAAAGCGUGGGGAGCAAACAGG